rnacentral:rRNA from 1 species
GACGAACGCUGGCGGCGUGCUUAACACAUGCAAGUCGAGCGGUAAGGCCCUUUCGGGGGUACGACGAGCGGCGAACGGGUGAGUAACACGUGGGUGACCUGCCCUCCAGCUCUGGGAUAAGCCUGGGAAACCGGGUCUAAUACUGGAUAUGACUCCAUGACGCAUGUUGUGGGGUGGAAAGCCUUGUGCGGCUGAGGAUGGGCCCGCGGCCUAUCAGCUUGUUGGUGGGGUGAUGGCCUACCAAGGCGACGACGGGUAGCCGGCCUGAGAGGGCGACCGGCCACACUGGGACUGAGACACGGCCCAGACUCCUACGGGAGGGCAGCAGUGGGGAAUCUUGCGCAAUGGGCGAAAGCCUGACGCAGCGACGCCGCGUGAGGGAUGACGGCCU